AGAGCAGAGUGAGCUGCGGUCAUGAUUGAAGGCAGGGAUGCUAGCAGCAAGGACCCCAAAGAAUUAUCAGCAUUGGGGCCCAAACUUCCCCCCAGGCUGGGGGAAACUGUCUUGAGGAUGACGAAGGAUGUGCGGGAUGAAAAAGUGACACCGGGGCUGGCAGACACCGGACAUGACCGGGACUUCAUUCGGGGUGAAAUGUUCAGGCAAAUAAAGGUUGU
rnacentral:lncRNA from 1 species